GUACUAUACAUACAUUUUCAUUUUUCAUAAACAUUAAGUUGUUUAUGUAGAAUUAAAAAAAAAUGUUUGUUUUUAAUAAGUUUCGGAAUGUAACCUCCCUUUUUGUACUGGCUUUGGGUCUCAUAUAACACGGUUUCACACAAUACGGCAUUUUCUAGGAACCUAUCUACUGUGUUAUAGGAGGGUCACCUGUACACGAUAAAUAAACCGCAUUGCGUAAUGGAACAAACUUCAAAUUCGAUAUCAUAUUGAUAUUCUC